CCUACGGGGGGCUGCAGUCGAGAGGCUUCGGCAAUGGGGGAAACCCUGACCGAGCGACGCCGCGUGCAGGAUGAAGGCCCUUGUGUUGUAAACUGCUUUUAUCGGGGAAGCGGUACCCGAUGAAUAAGCUCCGGCUAACUCCGUGCCAGUAGCCGCGGUAACACGGGGGGAGCAAGCGUUGUUCGGAAUCAAUGGGCGUAAAGGGCGUGUAGGCGGUCAGGUAAGUGGAAUGUGAAAUCCCUCGGCUCACCCGAGGACCUGCAUCCCAAACUGCCUGGCUUGAGUAUGGGAGAGAUAGGGAAUUCCUGGUGUAGCGGUGAAAUGCGUAGAUAUCAGGAGGAACACCGGUGGCGAAGGCGCUCAUCUGGCCCAAACUGACGCUGAAGCGCGAAAGCUAGGGGAGCAAACGGGAUUAGAUACCCUUGUAGUC
rnacentral:rRNA from 1 species